rnacentral:tRNA from 1 species
CGGGGCGUAGCGCAGCCUGGUAGCGCACUUGCAUGGGGUGCAAGGGGUCGAGUGUUCGAAUCACUCUGUCCCGACCA